UUUAUUUUAAAUCUUUCUAAAUACACUUUCCAGUACAUUUACUUUGUUACGACUUGUCUUAUUUUUAAUAAGAAUGACGGGCAAUAUGUACAUAUUUUAGAUUUAAAUAAAUAAAUAAAUUUACUAUUAAAUCCAAAUUUCAUUUCAAUUUUCAUUUAAAAUCCAUAAAUAUUUAAUUUAAUGUAUUCAUUUAAAACUUAUUUAUAAACUAAGUACAUCUUGACUUAACAUAAAUUAUUAAAUUAAUUUUUAAAUAUAUUCAUGACAGCGAUAUAUAAAUUAAAAAAUAAGUAAAAUUAAUCGUGGAUUAUCAAUUACUCAACAGGUUCCUCUAAUAAGACUAAAAUACCGCCAAAUUUUUUAAAUUUAAGUAUAACUAUUAAUUUUUAAGUAAUUAAUAUUUAUAUUUUUAUAAUAGGGUAUCUAAUCCUAGUUUAAACUAAAAUUUAAUAGAAUAAAAUAAUUAUAAAUUUAAUUUCACCUUA